rnacentral:rRNA from 2 species
CGACGCAACGCGAAGAACCUUACCAGGGCUUGACAUGCCGCUGACCGGUGCAGAGAUGCAUCUUUAUCCUUCGGGGUACAGCGGACACAGGUGGUGCAUGGUUGUCGUCAGCUCGUGUCGUGAGAUGUUGGGUUAAGUCCCGCAACGAGCGCAACCCUUGUCUUUAGUUGCCAUCAUUAAGUUGGGCACUCUAAAGAGACUGCCGAUGACAAAUCGGAGGAAGGUGGGAUGACGUCAAAUCAUCAUGCCCUUUAUGUCCUGGGCUACACACGUGCUACAAUGGUCGGUACAACGAGAAGCAAGUCAGCGAUGGCAAGCAAAUCUCUAAAAAGCCGAUCCCAGUUCGGAUUGCAGGCUGCAACUCGCCUGCAUGAAGUCGGAGUUGCUAGUAAUCGCGGAUCAGAAUGCCGCGGUGAAUGCGUUCCCGGGUCUU